UACGUAGGGGGCAAGCGUUGUCCGGAAUCAUUGGGCGUAAAGAGCGCGUAGGCGGCCCAGUAAGUCCGCUCUGAAAGUCAGGGGCUCAACCCCUGAAUGCGGGUGGAUACUGCUGGGCUAGAGUCCGGAAGAGGCGAGUGGAAUUCCUGGUGUAGCGGUGAAAUGCGCAGAUAUCAGGAGGAACACCGAUGGCGAAGGCGGCAUCCUGGACCGACACUGACACUGAGGAGCGAAAGCCAGGGGAGCAAACGGG
rnacentral:rRNA from 1 species